AUCGCUUCUCGGCCUUUUGGCUAAGAUCAAGUGUAGUAUCUGUUCUUAUCAGUUUAAUAUCUGAUACGUCCUCGAUGAGACGUCCUCGAUGAGAGGACUUUAUAUUAAACGGAUUUUUGGGCUCGGGAGUUGGACCCGGAGCUUGCUCCCUCCGCUCCGCGCAUCGUCCCGGUAUUGCAGUGCCUCCGGGAACGGUGCACCCCUC